ACAGCUGUACAGCAUCUCGCUUCUCCCGGCCUCCCAGCCCCCACCCCUGCCUUGGGCCGUUUAUCACUCAGGACCACCCCACCUGCUCCACCGGCCCCGUUCCUCACCCUGAACACCACUUGUGGUGCAGCCCACCUCUGUCCUUCUAUUGAGCUCCUGCCGCACAGCUGGCCCUGUGCUGGGUGCUGCGAGGAGCCACAGGGCGGAGAAAGCCCCCUCCCCUCCAGGGGCUCACCACACAGUGGGAUGCCAGGAGAGGCGCAGUGACCUCCCCGAGGCCACCCAGCGAGGACGCAGACCGAGAAGCUCAGCGAGCCUUCCCUGCCCCAUCCGGGCUGGCCAGGUGGUGCAGGGCCUCCCAGGAGAGGGGACUGUUCAUCUCGAGGUGGCACCUGGCCGGCCGUGGGACCAUGACGCUGCUCUGGGAGCCCGUGGAAGCCUGGCUAGUGCUGGCCCUGGCCUUGGCGCUGGCCCUGGGCCCCAGUGUGGGUGUAGCUGCCCCGAGGCAGGACUGCACGGGUGUGGAGUGCCCGCCGCUGGAGCACUGCAUCGAGGAGGCGCUGGAGCCGGGCGGUGCCUGUGACCGUGGCCCGUGUGGAGUGCCUGCCAGCUAGG
rnacentral:lncRNA from 1 species